rnacentral:rRNA from 1 species
GUUUGUGGCCAAGCCACCCUGAACAAGCCCAAUCCUGUCUGAUCUCAGAAGCUAAGCAGGGUUGGGCCUGGCUAGUACUUGGAUUGGAGACCACCUAGGAAGACCAGGUGCUAUAGGCA